rnacentral:rRNA from 1 species
AGACCCCAUGAACCUUUACUGUAGCUUUGCAUUGGACUUUGAACCGAUCUGUGUAGGAUAGGUGGGAGGCUAUGAAACCGGAACGCUAGUUUCGGUGGAGCCGUCCUUGAAAUACCACCCUGGUUUGUUUGAGGUUCUAACCUUGGUCCGUGAUCCGGAUCGGGGACAGUGCAUGGUAGGCAGUUUGACUGGGGCGGUCUCCUCCCAAAGGGUAACGGAGGAGUACGAAGGUACGCUAGGUACGGUCGGAAAUCGUGCUGAUAGUGCAAUGGCAUAAGCGUGCUUAACUGCGAGACCGACAAGUCGAGCAGGUGCGAAAGCAGGUCAUAGUGAUCCGGUGGUUCUGUAUGGAAGGGCCAUCGCUCAACGGAUAAAAGGUACUCUGGGGAUAACAGGCUGAUACCGCCCAAGAGUUCAUAUCGACGGCGGUGUUUGGCACCUCGAUGUCGGCUCAUCUCAUCCUGGGGCUGUAGCCGGUCCCAAGGGUAUGGCUGUUCGCCAUUUAAAGAGGUACGUGAGCUGGGUUUAAAACGUCGUGAGACAGUUUGGUCCCUAUCUGCCGUGGGCGUUGGAUAUUUGAAGGGGGCUGCUCCUAGUACGAGAGGACCGGAGUGGACGAACCUCUGGUGUACCGGUUGUGACGCCAGUCGCAUCGCCGGGUAGCUAUGUUCGGAAGAGAUAACCGCUGAAAGCAUCUAAGCGGGAAACUCGCCUUAAGAUGAGAUAUCCCUGGAGGCUUGACCUCCUUGAAGGGUCGUUCGAGACCAGGACGUUGAUAGGUCGGGUGUGUAAGCGCAGUAAUGCGUUCAGCUAACCGAUACUAAUUGCCCGUAAGGCUUGAUCCU